rnacentral:rRNA from 1 species
ACAUGCAAGUGAAUCUUUGGGAGCUUGCUCCCGAUGAUUAGCGGCGGACGGGUGAGUAACACGUGGGCAACCUGCCUGUAAGACUGGGAUAACUUCGGGAAACCGG